rnacentral:rRNA from 1 species
AAAGCAGGACGGGGGAUCACUCGGCUCGUCCGUCGAUGAAGAGCGCGGCUAUCCGCUUGAACCGAUGCGAAUUGCAGGACUCAGUGAACAUCGACACCUCGAACGCACAUUCAGUUCAACGUAAAGCAAGCAAAGAAGGACAUUUUUCCACCCAGAUUCC